rnacentral:rRNA from 1 species
CGCAAUGGACGAAAGUCUGACGGAGCAACGCCGCGUGAGUGAAGAAGGUUUUCGGAUCGUAAAACUCUGUUGUUAGGGAAGAACAAGUGCCGUUCGAAUAGGGCGGCACCUUGACGGUACCUAACCAGAAAGCCACGGCUAACUACGUGCCAGCAGCCGCGGUAAUACGUAGGUGGCAAGCGUUGUCCGGAAUUAUUGGGCGUAAAGCGCGCGCAGGUGGUUUCUUAAGUCUGAUGUGAAAGCCCACGGCUCAACCGUGGAGGGUCAUUGGAAACUGGGGAACUUGAGUGCAGAAGAGGAAAGUGGAAUUCCAAGUGUAGCGGUGAAAUGCGUAGAUAUUUGGAGGAACACCAGUGGCGAAGGCGACUUUCUGGUCUGUAACUGACACUGAGGCGCGAAAGCGUGGGGAGCAAACAGGAUUAGAUACCCUGGUAGUCCACGCCGUAAACGAUGAGUGCUAAGUGUUAGAGGGUUUCCGCCCUUUAGUGCUGCAGCUAACGCAUUAAGCACUCCGCCUGGGGAGUACGGUCGCAAGACUGAAACUCAAAGGAAUUGACGGGGGCCCGCACAAGCGGUGGAGCAUGUGGUU